rnacentral:lncRNA from 1 species
GACGGAUUGAGCAUUCGUCGAGUCGGUGAAAAGUUAUCGGCAAAACAAAACCGAUCGAGCUUCGUUUCCACCUAAGAGGUCGAAGUAGCGUUAAAGCAAGCGCCGAAUAGUGUUCUUAGCACCCCGACAUCGUCGAAAGGUGGGUGGUGUCAUCCCGAAGCAACUGGGUUCCUCUCUAUGUCUUAGUACUUCAUGAUUUGCAUCUCUUGCAUGUAGCAUUGUAGAAUUGCAUGUUACUCCUUUCCUUAUGCCUGCUAAUGAUAUCGAUGUAUGAAAUGAAUGCAUGAUGAUGGUUAGAUGAGGAUUGGGUCUUGACAUUGAGUUCUAUAGUGCCGAGAAGAGAGAUGACUCGAUGAUUGUUAAAGACGUGUUGAGUAGCAUUGAUUGUUAAACAUACAAGAACGAGUGGCAUAUAACUUAGUGUAAAUGACACUAGUGGCGUGUGAACUUAGGGAUAGGUGGAUUCCCUAGUAAAUGACUCGUUGGACAAGGAAAUAAUGUAGCCAAACACUCACAUUUAGGAUUUGGGAUAGGUGAAUUCCCGAAUGACUUGUAACCCUAGAGUUGAUAGGGUAUCCUCGAGUUGAGAGGAUUGAUCAUACUCACAGUCUGUUCAUACUUGUGGUGGUCGCACCACCCAGGUCUUCGUGCACUCCGGAGUUUGGUGCGAGAGGGGCAGAGUUGAUGCCCUGCAGGCGGCCUCGGGUUUGAGAGCGAGGUGAGUCUCCUUACCAGCGAAGUGAGGUUUGAGGUGAGUCGUGGGCGAACCCAGGUGGAUCGCCAAGGAUUGAUUGAACAUGAGAAUAGCAUUAUUACUUGAACAUUUGCUUGUUGGACAUGGAUAGUGGACAUAGUAGCAUGUUAGUAAACCCUUUACUAUAUGAUGCAUGCAUACAUUACUGAUGAUUGGGUAUAGUAGCAUAGAUUUCCUACAAUGUCCACUAUGCAUGCAUACGCCCCGAGACCGCUACCAAUUCGGUCCGGUUCGGGCGCGUCGAACAGACGCCGGACGGACAGCACCUCCCCUGUCCGCCCAAGGCUCAAAGAUAAGAUCAUGUACAUAGAAUUGCCCAGGAAUAAAUUCAAUUACAUACAUGAUAAAGUAUGGAGCACCAUAAGUGCUAACAAGUAAGAGCAAGACACAAGCAAUAAAACGAGUGAUAUAAAGAGAGUAACAUCCACAAGGCAUUCAACAUCUAGAUCCUUGAUUACAUUUAUAUCUCCAAAAUGAACAUUCAUGAUAAUCUCCAUAAUACACAAGCAACCUCCCAAAGUACAUCAUAUGUCACUGGGUACACGAGGGUACACUAAUGCAAGUGGAACCUGCUAACUAUACCUAGGGCGCGAUGCCUUUACCACGGUCCUCUGCCGGUGCUCUCUCGCUAGGCCCUGCAACAAAGUGGGGUGAGAAAUAUAUAAAUAUAGUUCCCAGUGGGUUCGGCCGCCGACUCUGCCGAUCUUCCCACUAGGUCUAAGCAGGCAUAAGAAGAUAGAUAGAUAUCUGUAACUGUAAUUGAUGCAUAUAGAAAGAAUUGCAAGAUUCUACUAUGCCUGGAGAACAAGAGUAAAUCACAUAGCCAUGUAAUCUCUAACAUGCUAUAAUAACUCUAUCAAGUAUACAUGCAAUUCUACUAUGCCAAACAUGCUCAACAUGCUCAAUAUGCUUACUAUGCUCAAUGUGCAUAAUUCUCUUGAGUUCAUCACUCAAUCGUCUGGCUGGCCCAAAGGCGCGCCCUCGACUCACAACUCAAAUCCGUCUAUGAAGGGGGACUCGAACCACGCGAGGGAUUGUCUGCGGGACACCACAUUGGCUAUCCCUUGGGACCCCACAUAGGCUAUCCCAAUCGUUUCACGUGCCAAGACUCCGGAGCUCGCACUACUUGUGCGGAGCGACCGCCACAAGUGCUGAACAGACUGUGUGAGUAUGAUCAAAUCCGUUUCCAACGAAGGUACCCGGUCACUAUGACCAACAUGCACAAGUGUUCUUUUAACACUACGUUCUAAUGCCACUCGUCAAGUUGUUUACUUGGUACACAUAUGCCACUCGUCAAGUAUGUACUUGGUUCACAUGUCACUUGCCAUAAUGCAAUUGUCCCGACUAUACUAGUCAUAUAUCCUCUAUGCAAGAUCAAGUUAUUGUUUAACUUAUCUCUAUAGGGUUCUAUGUCACAAACUCAUUCUCAUGCACCCUAAGUUCACAUGCCAAGCCUACUAUGCCGCAAUACAAGGGAGCAUGCAAGAAUAGUAAAAGUAACAUCUAAAUACCCUAACAUGCAUGACACUAUAUAUGUAGUAUGUUCAACAUAGAAAUACUUAGACAUAGGGAGAAGCCCAGUUGCUUCAAGAUGACACCCCCCACCUUUUAUUGCUAUCACGAGGCUAGGAUUCCGAUUUCAUGAUUUUUGGAAGCUUUCGCCGCGAGCUGCGGCAAUCUGUACCUUAACGGCUUCGUUCUUUAAUAUCUUUGUGUACGCUCGUCGUAUCGCCGAACCGACUUCGCCAAUGCGUCAGAAAACCUAGCAAUUAGGUUUAUACAUGAUCAAUUUAGAUCAAACCCUCACGUAUUGCAAAAUCCCAUUUUUGAGCCCUAACAUGCAAUUACCCCCAAAUAAUCCAAAUUAAAUGGAGCAACAUGCUAAGAAUGCUCAUUAGAGGCUACUAGAACGCUUAAGGUUAAGGAUUAAGCCAAAUCCCAAAAUUUUACCAAAAUGUGAACGCCGAGACGGAAGCACGCCGCUCCAACGGGCGCACGAAAGCUCGAUCCGUUGCUGCCAACGCGUUCGCAAACUCGCUCUCCACCAACGUCGCGAAUUUGGGCGAGAAAUAUAGAGAGAUGAGAGAGAUAUUUAGAGAGAGAAAAGGGAGGGUUUCUCUCACUACACCAUGAACGUGUGCUUGUGUGGGGUGGUGGUCGGCUGUGAAGAGGAAGAAGCCUAGUAGCUUCUACUUAUAGUCAACACCCCAAUAGUAGCAUACACUAUUCACUUCAGGCAGUUCGAAAUCUGAUAUCUUUCGCCGGAGCCCUCUGAAUAUCCGUUUGAGCUCAAAUUUGACAGUCAUGUUCGGUUUUGCUUAACUUAACGAAAGAAAUUUUAAUCUUUCAGUUUCGACCCCGUUUGGUCACCGAAAGCCGUAUCGAACUGUAAUCUUUAUCAGAUCACUAUCGGAUUUUAUUUUCCACCUUCCGGGUGUCAGAAUGAUAUGAAACUUUAAACCUAGCCUCAUAAAAGUAAUUCUGGCUUAUCCUCCUGUUUUCAGAAUUUUCUAACACUGUGUAUUUCCUGCUAAUUUAUCUGCCCCGUUUCACACAGAAAAUUCUAAAUCUUCUGUUUUCGCUCUGAUUUCAACAUGGGUCAUUCCAGACUUAUUGUCACGCCCCGAGAGCGCUACCAAUUUAGUCCGGCCCGGGCGCGUCGAACAGACGCCGAACGGACAGGACCUCCCCUGUCCGUCCAAGGCUAACCAACGGAUCAUGUAUAAGAAUUUACCCAGGAAUCAAUUCAUAAAUACACGAUCAAGAAGCACCACUAGUGCAACAACCAAGAGCAAGAUACGAGUAUAGAAACAUAUACAAGUACAUCAAGAGAAAAGAGCUUAUCUAUUACAUUCAUUUGACUUAAUACAUUCAAUUACAUCUUUUACAUUCUUCCAAAAUAUAAAUACAAUCACUCCACCUCACCCUAUACAACAUCUACUCUCAAGUACAACAGGGUGACGGCUAAUGCAAAAAAAAAGGGAGGUAGCUAAUGCGACUAAAACGCCGGGCCCUUACCGCGAUCCUCACGCUCCCCGAGAGCACCCGAACUGGAACCUGUAGUAAAAUGGGGGUGAGAACUAACUUCCUUAGUUCCCAAUGGGUUCGGCCGUCGACUCCGCCGAUCUCCCCACUAGGUCCAAGCGGGCACAAGUAGAUAAUCGAUAGAUAGAUAGAUAGAUAAGGAAAGCGGUAGAUGAUUAUGCCNUCAAAACCUUUCAAAGGUCUAUCAAACGUCGUAACUCAAUUCCAAAAACCAUUCCAACCCUUGAACUUGUCAAUAGGCCCAGAUUCAGUAUAUUACAUUCACCCCUCCUAAAUAGAAGUUUCGUCCGCGAAACUAGAACUGAAUCUUCAUUCGAAAUCAUCUAAAAAAAA